rnacentral:rRNA from 1 species
AUUGAACGCUGGCGGCAUGCCUAACACAUGCAAGUCGAACGAGUGGCGGACGGGUGAGUGAUUUCUUGGCACCUGCCUAAUAGCGGGGUCUAACUACUGGAACCGUUGGCUACUACCGCAUACCAUCGGAUCUGCCCAGCGGGGAUUAGCGAGUUGGUGGGGUAACGGCUCACCAAGGCGACGAUCCAUAGCUGGUCUGAGAGGCUGACCGGCCACACUGGGACUGAGACACGGCCCAGACUCCUACGGGAGGCAGCAGUGGGGAAUAUUGGACAAUGGGCGAAAGCCUGAGCCAGCCAUGCCGCGUGAAUGAAGAAGGUUUUCGGGUUGUAAAGUACUGUUGGCAGGGAGGCGGUAUCUGAAGAAUAAGCACCGGCUAACUACGUGCCAGCAGCCGCGGUAAUUC